rnacentral:lncRNA from 1 species
AUGCGCAUGGUGAGGUCUGAGGUCAGCAGGCAGUUCCCUAGGGUGGGGGUGCAGGUGAGCACAGGGGCGACCCCCCCCCAGCCCAGACCCCUAUCCUUCAUGGUUUCCCUGAUGGCAGCUUCCAGACGGGGAGUUCCCUUUCGCGGGAGAGCCAGCUCCCAGGCCGGAUUCUGGCGGGAACGGACCACUUCAACCCUCAUUACGCAGGCGCAGCAGCGGCUGCCGGUCUCCUCUCCCUUCCAGGUGCUGCGCUGUCUUCCGAACGUGGCCCAUAAGUCAGCCGUUUGGACCGUUGCGGGUUCUCCAGAGAGUCCACCAGAUGGUGGCAACGUCCUUCCUGACCUCCACCGUCGCCAUCAUAGGCCUUCCUACAGCACGCGGCUCUUGUGUACCUCCCACUGUUGUACCUCCCAUCAAGCCACCAAAUCAGAAGUCAGAAUGUCAUUCCAGGUAACAUCAGUAGAGGAACAGCAAAGUGAGAGAGAAAACUGA